UAACUAAAGACAGGUGUGCUGAAGUGAGCCACAGGGUUACAGUCUGCGUAUUUGGUUAAUCUUGGUUUUAUUGUUUGAUGGCGUCAUUUAAUACCCAGUUGAUUAGACCUUUGUUUUUGUAAAGGCCUGUUUAUUUGGGGAAUGUUUGCUGGGGGAUUUUUUGUUUUCAUUUUUUUUAACGCAACAGUCAAGACAAGUCAGUUCACAGUGUCAUCCUGUAAAUCAACUGAAGCGCCCUGGAUCACCGAACAUGGAGUACGACGUCCAGGGGUCCUUGAGGGAGUUCCAGGAGGUCCCCGGAAAAAUGCAGAAGGUUAAACGAGGUGACCCAACAGGAACAGUGUAGGCGGGACAUCAGAGCAGCUCUGCACUAUCACACAUGAUCAGAGCAGAGGAUUCUGGUAAGAGACGGAGAUGAACUAGGUGAAUAAGGACUGGUGUGACAGUGUCUUGUCCGAGGUGGCUACAGAGCAGCGCGGCCCGUGUUUGGAAGGAGCGACCAUGCGGCCAUCUUGUUGAGGGUCCGGAUGUUUGGACAGUUUAAUCAUUCCACAGCCAGAAACCAUGGAUUACCAGAACCAUCUGGAAUAAAAAAGGACUAAAUCAGUGAUUCCCAACUGGUCCAGCCACGGGGUCUGGAUUUCUCCUCUGUCAUUAGUUCAAGGUCCACACAGUAGAAGACAUUUAGUGUCAUACUUGUGUUUGAACGUGUCGUUAAGCUAGUUUGCUGUCUCUGUGAAGUAGCUUUCCAUUGGUCAGUUCCUCUACAAUAGGAAAUGGGACUUCAGAAUAAAAGCUGUGUGCCAGAAAUUCAGUGUACUUCAAAAUAA